GAUUUAAAUCGUUCCCACAAGGAUCAAACGCACUCAGACGAGCAGAAACAGCUGAACAGCAAACAUUCAGCACUUAAGACUCACAGCAUCAAGAAUGAAGCAAGCAUUUAUCCUACUGAUCUCCAUUGUGGUGGUUUUUGUGGCGCCAGAUGCCCAAGGAACAGCUCACCUGUCAUUUUCAAACACAACAGCGAACGUCACUCGGGCAGGUUGUGGAAGCACUGUGCUGUGUGUGGAUACACCAAGGGGUUGUGACCCUUCAACAAACAACACUUGCCUGUUUGCAGCUGUGAAUGGCACUGCUGUAAUGGCUCCAAAUGGCACCAAUCUGACUGUCCAACUGAGUGGAACAAGCAAUAAUAACAGCUUCAUCGCAUUUGCACUCACUGCAAAUGCAUCUGAGGGUACCAGUAUGCUUUAUGUCUGUGGUAGAAACAACACAGCUAGUGGAGUCAAUGGGACAUUCUUCUUCCUGACAGCGCAGAGAAACAACACCAACCAAAUGAUCACUAUCAUGAGCAGGAAUAUGACAACAAUGCAAAACACGACAACAGUAACAAAGAUCCAGUGUGUGUUUGACGUCCCCGGAGUGAACGCCUCCAGGUCGAGGACCGAGGACACCACCUUCGUUCUCCUACUUGGGUCUGGAAUGGUAAACGGAAGUGAUCUUGGGAACUUCACAGUCAACGUGACCACCGCCGCUCUGAACCUCAUCGACCCCACCAGCAACCUGAACACCAACACCACCUCCUCUUUGAACAUCACUCGGACAGGUUGUGGAGAGACUAAACUGUGUGUGGAGACACCAGAGGAUUGUGACCCUUCAACAAACAACACUUGCCUGUUUACAUCUGUGGAUGGCACUGCUGGAACGGCUCCAAAUGGCACAACGCUGAGUUUUGAACUGAGUGGAACAAGCAGUGGGGAUCGCUACGUUGGAGUGGCACUCACUGCAAAUGCAUCUGAGGGUACCGGUAUGCUUUAUGUCUGCGGUAGAAACGGCACAACUAAUGGAGUCAAUGGACGUUCUUCUUCCUGACAGUGCAGAGAAAACAACACCAACGGAGACCUCCACUGUCAUGAACGUGACAGCAACAGGAAUACAAAACCUGACAACAGACGCAAAGAUCCAGUGUGUGUUUGACGUCCCUGGAGUGAACGCCUCCAGGUCGAGGAACGCGGAAACCACCUUCGUCCUCCAACUUGGGUCUGGAAUGGUAAACGGAAGUACUCUCGGGCCCUUCAUCGCCAACGUGACCACCACCGCUCUGAACCUCCUCGAUCCAACCAGCAACCUGAACACCACCAUGUCAGGGGCAAACAGAGCCCUUCUCCCUCAGGCUUUGCCGCUGCUGCUGAGCAUCUUUGUCCUUUCCAUCCUGAAGACAGCCUGAGACAGUCCAUAGACGAAGCUGAGACCCAAUGAAGACACAAUGAUGACACGUUUGAGUGUCAUAGUGUUUUAAAUGUGUUUUUGCAGAACUUAAAAUUAUUUAAAGGAUCUUUGUGCACCAUGUUUGUACCUGAUAACUACUUUGAGCUGAAGAAUCUAAUGACGUUCAGUUUGAAACAACCUUUUCUUGUUUUUGUGAUCAAAUGUUUUCUUAUUUUUUUGUUGUCUCCCCAGUUUUUAAACACAUUCCCUCUGACACCACAGCAGCAUCUACAAAUAGAAAUUUCCAGACUUGGGUGUAACAAGUUUGAGCCGAUAUCGGCAGUAAACCACAGCCGCCAACGUUAGAUUAAGAGACGCACAACCCAGCUCAGGAUUGUUACCUUGUUUUGAUGUGCAUGGAAUGUGACUGUAAACUAUCUGUUGAGCGGAUGACAGUGCAUUUAACCUAAAAAUACCAAUAAAACUUAUAAAUAAU